rnacentral:sRNA from 17 species
AUAGUUCCUAAAUCUAUAGAAUAAUAUUCUAAAACUAGAAAUUUAUUAAUAGACAUGGAACUAACAGUGGGCUACUCUCGUUAGUAGCAGAAGUUAGAUAGGCCAUCACACCUACUGAUGUGAUUCCAGUUGGUAGCUCUGUG